AGAUUGAACGCUGGCGGCAUGCCUUACACAUGCAAGUCGAACGGCAGCACGGGAGCAAUCCUGGUGGCGAGUGGCGAACGGGUGAGUAAUACAUCGGAACGUGCCCAAUCGUGGGGGAUAACGCAGCGAAAGCUGUGCUAAUACCGCAUAAGAUCUACGGAUGAAAGCAGGGGAUCGCAAGACCUUGCGCGAAUGGAGCGGCCGAUGGCAGAUUAGGUAGUUGGUGAGGUAAAGGCUCACCAAGCCUUCGAUCUGUAGCUGGUCUGAGAGGACGACCAGCCACACUGGGACUGAGACACGGCCAGACUCCUACGGGAGGCAGCAGUGGGAAUUUGGACAAUGGGCGAAAGCCUAAAGAUCCAGCCAUGCCGCGUGCAGGAUGAAGGCCUUCGGUUAGUAACGUGUC
rnacentral:rRNA from 1 species